GACGAACGCUGGCGGCGUGCUUAACACAUGCAAGUCGAACGGAAAGGCCCUGCUUUUGUGGGGUGCUCGAGUGGCGAACGGGUGAGUAACACGUGAGUAACCUGCCCUUGACUUUGGGAUAACUUCAGGAAACUGGGGCUAAUACCGGAUAGGAGCUCCUGCUGCAUGGUGGGGGUUGGAAAGUUUCGGCGGUUGGGGAUGGACUCGCGGCUUAUCAGCUUGUUGGUGGGGUAGUGGCUGACCAAGGCUUUGACGGGUAGCCGGCCUGUGAGGGUGACCGGCCACAUUGGGACUGAGAUACGGCCCAGACUCCUACGGGAGGCAGCAGUGGGGAAUAUUGCACAAUGGGCGGAAGCCUGAUGCGGCAACGCCGCGUGCGGGAUGACGGCCUUCGGGUUGUAAACCGCUUUCGCCUGUGACGAAGCGUGAGUGACGGUAAUGGGUAAAGAAGCACCGGCUAACUACGUG
rnacentral:rRNA from 1 species